rnacentral:rRNA from 1 species
AGAGUUUGAUCCUGGCUCAGGACGAACGCUGGCGGCGUGCUUAACACAUGCAAGUCGAACGAUGAAGCCUUAGCUUGCUUUGGUGGAUUAGUGGCGAACGGGUGAGUAACACGUGAGCAACGUGCCCAGGACUCUGGAAUAACCGCGGGAAACCGUGGCUAAUACCGGAUAGGUGCCGAGGCCGCAUGGUCUUCGGUUGGAAAGUUUUUGCGGUUCUGGAUCGGCUCACGGCCUAUCAGCUUGUUGGUGGGGUAAUGGCCUACCAAGGCGACGACGGGUAGCCGGCCUGAGAGGGUGACCGGCCACACUGGGACUGAGACACGGCCCAGACUCCUACGGGAGGCAGCAGUGGGGAAUAUUGCACAAUGGGCGCAAGCCUGAUGCAGCAACGCCGCGUGGGGGAUGACGGCCUUCGGGUUGUAAACCUCUUUUAGUAGGGAAGAAGCGCAAGUGACGGUACCUGCAGAAAAAGCACCGGCUAACUACGUG